GACGACGCUGGCGGCGUGCCUAACACAUGCAAGUCGAGCGGGGUUGAAGCGAGGGGUAACUCGAGUUUCUACCUAGCGGCGGACGGGUGAGUAACGCGUGGGCAACCUGCCUCAAGGACUGGGAUAACAGCUCGAAAGGGCUGCUAAUACCGGAUAAGCCUAUGGCCUCGCAUGGGGCCAUGAGCAAAGGGGAAACCCGCCUUGAGAUGGGCCCGCGUCCCAUCAGCUAGUUGGUGAGGUGAAGGCUCACCAAGGCGACGACGGGUAGCCGGCCUGAGAGGGUGACCGGCCACACUGGGACUGAGACACGGCCCAGACUCCUACGGGGGGCAGCAGUGGGGAAUCUUGCACAAUGGGCGAAAGCCUGAUGCAGCGACGCCGCGUGAGCGAAGAAGGCCUUCGGGUUGUAAAGCUCUGUCUGGAGGGACGAAGGAAGUGACGGUACCUCCGGAGGAAGCCACGGCUAACUACGUG
rnacentral:rRNA from 1 species